rnacentral:rRNA from 1 species
CCUACGGGUGGCAGCAGUGGGGAAUAUUGGGCAAUGGAGGAAACUCUGACCCAGCAACGCCGCGUGAAGGAUGAAGGUUUUCGGAUUGUAAACUUCUGUCGCGAGGGACGAAGAAUGACGGAACUUCGUAAGAAAGCCCCGGCUAAUUACGUGCCAGCAGCCGCGGUAUUACGUAGGGGGCGAACGUGGUCCGGAGUGCCUGGGCGUAAAGGGAGGGUAGGGGGCAAUAUAAGUUAGAGGUGAAAUCCCGCGUGGCAUCCGCGGAACUGCAUUUAAAACAAUAUGGCGGGAGAGCAGGAGAGGUGAAAGGGAAUCCUAGAGUGGCGGUGGGAUACGUGGAGAUUAGAAGGGGAACCAGAG